GCUGCGCAGCACGGCCCCCUGCCAGGCGGCGCCUCGCCCUCGGUGUGCCGCAGCCGCCGGGCGGGCCACGGCGGGGGCAGCCUCACACCCCCCGCGGUGGGCGGUGGCGCCCCCCCAGCCCUAGCGCUCCGCCCCUUCGCCUGAGGCGCGCGCGCUCAUUGGGUCCGCCGGCUGCCGCUCAAGGUCAUUGCAAGUUUCACCAGCUAACCUAAACUGCUGCAUGAAGUUCUCAAUCUCUCACAUGGACACAAGGUACUUUCAACAAAAGCAGAAAUCCCAUUCACGCAGACAAAGUGUGAUUCCUGACACAGAUGAAGUCAGAGUUUUACCCCGUCAUGUAUAUAGAAUACCUGUGGCUCCACAAUUAUUUUACAGUAGUGUUGUAAAUGUAGCUUAAAGCAAUAUAAAAUAAACUGCUCUUAACAUUC